rnacentral:rRNA from 1 species
AACGAACGCUGGCGGCAUGCCUAACACAUGCAAGUCGAACGGGAUCCUGGCUUCGGCCAGGUGAGAGUGGCGGACGGGUGAGUAACGCGUGGGAACCUGCCCAUUGGUCUGGGAUAACUGCGGGAAACUGCAGCUAAUACCGGAUGUACCCGAGAGGGGAAAGAUUUAUCGCCGAUGGAGGGGCCCGCGUCAGAUUAGGUAGUUGGUGAGGUAACGGCUCACCAAGCCUACGAUCUGUAGCUGGUCUGAGAGGAUGAUCAGCCACACUGGGACUGAGAUACGGCCCAGACUCCUACGGGAGGCAGCAGUGGGGAAUAUUGGACAAUGGGGCAACCCUGAUCCAGCAAUGCCGCGUGAGUGAUGAAGGCCUUAGGGUUGUAAAGCUCUUUUACCAGGGACGAUGAUGACGGUACCUGGAGAAUAAGACCCCGGCAACUUCGUGCCAGCAGCCGCGGUAA